AAUAUCCUUUUAACAAAUUAUGCGUAUUUAAGGAGAUAGGGCUGCGCAUGCGCAGAACGUAUCUCCUUACCUUUGCGCUUUUUGGUAAGAAGAUGUUAACAAAAAGUUGUUCGUCAUGAUGAGGGCUACAACUUUGCUUAAUAUCCUUUAAACAAAUUAUGCGUAUUUAAGGAGAUAGUGCUGCGCAUGCGCAGAACGUAUCUCCUUACCUUUGGACUUUUUGGUAAGAAGAUGUU
rnacentral:miRNA from 1 species